rnacentral:rRNA from 1 species
UACGUAGGGGGCGAGCGUUGUCCGGAUUCAUUGGGCGUAAAGCGCGCGCAGGCGGUGGCGUGAGUCCGGCGUGAAAGCCCCCAGCUCAACUGGGGGAGGCCGUCGGAGACCGCGGCACUUGAGGCCGGUAGGGGAGAGCGGAAUUCCCGGUGUAGUGGUGGAAUGCGUAGAUAUCAGGAGGAACACCGGUGGCGAAGGCGGGUCUCUGGGCCGAUACUGACGCUGAGGAGCGAAAGCGUGGGGAGCGAACAGG